rnacentral:rRNA from 1 species
UACGAGAGGCGCAAACGUUGUUCGGAAUUACUGGGCGUAAAGGGCUCGUAGGUGGCCAACUAAGUCAUACGUGAAAUCCCUCGGCUUAACCGGGGAACUGCGCCUGAUACUGGUUGGCUUGAGUUUGGGAGAGGGACGCGGAAUUCCAGGUGUAGCGGUGAAAUGCGUAGAUAUCUGGAGGAACACCGGUGGCGAAGGCGGCGUCCUGGACCAAUACUGACACUGAGGAGCGAAAGCCAGGGGAGCAAACGGG